UAUCUCUGUAGAGUCUGCAUAUCAAUAAGCGGAGGAAAAGAAACUAACAAGGAUUCCCUUAGUAACGGCGAGUGAAGCGGGAAGAGCUCAAAUUUGAAAUCUUCAAGGUUCUACCUUGACGAAUUGUAGUUUAAAGAAGUGUUUUCCUGUUAGAUGAGUAGCAAAAGUUCCUUGGAAUGGGACAUCAUAGAGGGUGAGAAUCCCGUAUUUGGUUAUUCAUUCUAGCUUUGUGAUACACUUUCAAAGAGUCGGAUUGUUUGGGAAUGCAGUCCAAAAUGGGUGGUAAAUUUCAUCUAAAGCUAAAUAUUGGCGAGAGACCGAUAGCGAACAAGUACCGUGAGGGAAAGAUGAAAAGAACUUUGAAAAGAGAGUUAAACAGUACGUGAAAUUGUCAAAAGGGAAGCGUUUGACACCAGUGUUGUUUUUCCAAAAAUCAAUUACGAAUGGCUUGAUUUUGUGUUGUAUUGACCUUAUCAGCUUUCUUCACUUUUUUCGAGUCUUUCUUAAUGCACUUUUCGGUUAACAAGUCAACAUCAAUUUCUUUUGUUGUAAAAGAGUCAUUCGGAAGGUGGCUUUCUUUUCGGAGAAAGUGUUUAUAGCCCUAUACUUCUACAAUCGGAGAGAUUGAGGUCUGCAGCGUAGAUCCUUCGGGGUUAGAUACACUUGUGCUAAGUUGUAGCUUUUCAUAGACAACUUGUUGACUAUGUUUAGUCAUGCGGCUUACUCGCUUAUGCUAUUUUACCUACGCUUAGGAUGUUGAAGAUGUAGCACAUCAU
rnacentral:rRNA from 1 species